UGUAGGAGCGAGCCUGCUCGCGAUGGACUCCCAGUCGACAUCUUCGUUGACUGACACUCCUUCGCGAGCGGGCUCGCUCCCACA
rnacentral:misc_RNA from 1 species